rnacentral:misc_RNA from 1 species
AAGUCGUAACAAGGUAACCGUAGGUGAACCUGCGGUUGGAUCAUUACCAAAUCCAAACCCGGUGCCUUGGGGUAUGCCGGGCUGCGUUUGCGCGUGGGCUCGUGCCCUCUCCCGUCGCCUUUGCUGGCGCGCGGGGGUGUGUGCGUGUCUUCGUGUUCUCGUGUGCCCGUGUGUGCUCCCUGGUGCCAUCCACCCCAUGUGCAAUGUCUUCAUUGGUGGUGCGGUGUGCGCGCGCUUGCGCGUGUGCGCCGUGCUUCCAUUCACAACCAUGUGUUCUCCAAUCACCUGACGUUUACCCUCGUGGACCUAGCCGUCCAUUAGAGCUUAACGAAAAAACAACUUUUGACAACGGAUCUCUUGGCUCUC